GUAGGUGGCAAGCGUUGUCCGGAAUUAUUGGGCGUAAAGCGCGCGCAGGUGGGUUCUUUAAGUCUGAUGUGAAAGCCCCCGGGCUCAACCGGGGAGGGUCAUUGGAAACUGGGGAACUUGAGUGCAGGAGAGGAAAGUGGGAUUCCACGUGUAGCGGUGAAAUGCGUAGAUAUGUGGAGGAACACCAGUGGCGAAGGCGACUUUCUGGCCUGUAACUGACACUGAGGCGCGAAAGCGUGGGGAGCAAACAGGAUUAGAUACCCUGGUAGUCCACGCCGUAAACGAUGAGUGCUAAGUGUUGGGGGGUUUCCGCCCCUCAGUGCUGCAGCUAACGCAUUAAGCACUCCGCCUGGGGAGUACGGUCGCAAGACUG
rnacentral:rRNA from 1 species